GGAUGGGUGGCAGAGCGGUUGAAUGCACCGGUCUUGAAAACCGGCGACUCUUUACGGAGUUCGUGAGUUCGAAUCUCACCCCAUCCGCCA
rnacentral:tRNA from 1 species